rnacentral:rRNA from 1 species
UCCGGAGGGCGCAAGCGUUGUUCGGAAUUACUGGGCGUAAAGCGCGUGUAGGCGGUUCGGUAAGUCGGGUGUGAAAGCCCGGAGCUCCACUCCGGAAUUGCAUUCGAAACUGCCGGGCUAGAGUCUCGGAGGGGAGGGCAGAAUUCCCAGUGUAGGGGUGAAAUCCGUAGAUAUUGGGAGGAAUACCAGCGGCGAUGGCGGCCCUCUGGACGAUGACUGACGCUCAGACGCGAAAGCGUGGGGAGUAUACAGG